AUUGAACGCUGGCGGCAUGCCUAACACAUGCAAGUCGAACGAGUGGCGGACGGGUGAGUAAUGUCUGGGACACUGCCCGAUGGAGGGGGAUCACCACUGGAAACGGUAGCUAAUUCCGCAUACCAUCCGAUGUGCCCAGCGGGGAGUGGCUGGUUGGUGGGGUAACGGCUCACCUCAGCGACGAUCCCUAGCUGGGCGGAGAGGAUGACCAGCCAAACGGGAACUGAGACACGGUCCGGACUCCUACGGGAGGCAGCAGUGGGAAAUAGUGAACAAGGGGCGAAAGCCUGAGGAAGCCAGGCCGCGUGGAUGAAGAAGGCCUUCGGGUUGUAAAGUACUUUAAGCGGGGAGGCGUUACUCGCAGAAGAAGCACCGGCUAACUCCGUGCCAGCAGCCGCGGUAAUUC
rnacentral:rRNA from 1 species